GAUGAAGAACGCAGCGAAAUGCGAUAAGUAGUGUGAAUUGCAGAAUUCAGUGAAUCAUCGAAUCUUUGAACGCACAUUGCGCCCGCCAGUAUUCUGGCGGGCAUGCCUGUUCGAGCGUCAUUUCAACCAUCAAGCCCCAGGCUUGUGUUGGGGACCUGCGGCUGCCGCAGGCCCUGAAAACCAGUGGCGGGCUCGCUGUCACACCGGGCGUAGUAGAUUUUAUCUCGCUCAGGGCGUGCUGCGGGUUCCGGCCGUUAAAAAGCCUUUUUUACCCAAGGUUGACCUCGGAUCAGGUAGGAAGACCCGCUGAACUUAAGCAUAUCAAUAAGCGGAGA
rnacentral:misc_RNA from 1 species